rnacentral:rRNA from 2 species
GGGCGUAAGCGCGCGCAGGCGGUCCUUUAAGUCUGAUGUGAAAGCCCACGGCUCAACCGUGGAGGGUCAUUGGAAACUGGGGGACUUGAGUGCAGAAGAGGAAAGCGGAAUUCCACGUGUAGCGGUGAAAUGCGUAGAGAUGUGGAGGAACACCAGUGGCGAAGGCGGCUUUCUGGUCUGUAACUGACGCUGAGGCGCGAAAGCGUGGGGAGCAAACAGGAUUAGAUACCCUGGUAGUCCACGCCGUAAACGAUGAGUGCUAAUUGUUAGAGGGUUUCCGCCCUUUAUUGCUGCAGCUAACGCAUUAAGCACUCCGCCUGGGGAGUACGGCCGCAAGGCUGAAACUCCUAGGAAUUGACGGGGGCCCGCACAAGCGGUGGAGCAUGUGGUUUAUUUCUAAGCAACGCCAAGAACCUUACCAGGUCUUGACAUCCUCUGACAC